rnacentral:miRNA from 1 species
AACACCAUUGUCACACUCCA